rnacentral:rRNA from 1 species
UACAGAGGUGGCGAGCGUUAAUCGGAAUUACUGGGCGUAAAGCGUGCGCAGGCGGUUCGUUGUGUCGGUGGUGAAAGCCCCGGGCUUAACCUGGGAAUGGCCAUGGAAACUGGCGAACUGGAGUGUGGCAGAGGGGGGUGGAAUUCCGCGUGUAGCAGUGAAAUGCGUAGAGAUGCGGAGGAACACCGAUGGCGAAGGCAGCCCCCUGGGCUAGCACUGACGCUCAGGCACGAAAGCGUGGGGAGCAAACAGG